rnacentral:rRNA from 1 species
AUGAGGAUUCGCGAGCUGGGGGACGGCGACGGGAGGCCGGUGGAGGGGGAGGAGCCGGAGGAGGCCUGGGCUGGCGGCGGCGAGGUCGUGCGGCUGAGGGCCAAGCGCGCGCUCGUCGGCGCCGGCGCCAGGGUGCUCUUCUACCCGACGCUUCUCUACAACGUCCUGCGCAACCAGUUCGAGGCGGAGUUCCGGUGGUGGGACCGCGUCGACCAGUGCAUUUUGCUAGGAGCUGUUCCUUUCCCAAGUGAUGUUCCACGUUUGAAGCAACUUGGAGUUCAGGGAGUUGUAACAUUGAAUGAGCCUUAUGAGACUCUGGUGCCAAUGUCCUUGUACCAGGCCUAUGGGAUUGAUCACCUUGUGAUUGCCACAAGAGACUACCUGUUCGCACCAUCCCUUGAAGAUAUUUGUCGAGCCAUUGAUUUUAUCCACCGCAAUGCGUCACAAGGUGGAACUACUUAUGUUCACUGUAAAGCUGGUAGAGGACGAAGUACCACUAUUGUUUUGUGCUAUUUGAUCAAAUAUAGGAACAUGACUCCUGAAGCAGCUUUGGAUCAUGUACGAUCCAUUAGGCCCCGAGUGCUUUUGGCACCAUCACAGUGGCAGGCUGUUAUCGUAUUUAGCACUCUCACCACUGGACGUCUUCCAGUAAGGAGUACAAACCUAAACUGUUACCUAGAAGGCACCAAAGCCUCCAUUCCUGACAGUGAUAUCGAGGACUGCACGGUGGAGUUUGAUUACGAUGAUAGCGGUUUACCUCUUUGUCAAGUUAUGGUACCGAGGCCAAGCAGUCCAACUGGAUGUGUCGAUGCAGUGUUCAUAACGGAAGCAGAUCUGGAGGGCUACGAUGCAUAUGUUGAUACCGGGAAGGAUGUUGUGACAUUUGAAGUAGUAGCCAGUCGCAAGCCCAUUAUGAGGAGACUAUCGUGCCUCUUUGGAUCAUUGAAAGUUACCAGCAACUGUGAGCCAGCCCCAAGCCGAUUUACCGAGGUUCGCGCCUGCUAG